AACGCUGGCGGCAGGCUUAACACAUGCAAGUCGAGCGCCCCGCAAGGGGAGCGGCAGACGGGUGAGUAACGCGUGGGAAUCUACCCUUGACUACGGAAUAACGCAGGGAAACUUGUGCUAAUACCGUAUGUGUCCUUCGGGAGAAAGAUUUAUCGGUCAAGGAUGAGCCCGCGUUGGAUUAGCUAGUUGGUGGGGUAAAGGCCUACCAAGGCGACGAUCCAUAGCUGGUCUGAGAGGAUGAUCAGCCACAUUGGGACUGAGACACGGCCCAAACUCCUACGGGAGGCAGCAGUGGGGAAUAUUGGACAAUGGGCGCAAGCCUGAUCCAGCCAUGCCGCGUGAGUGAUGAAGGCCCUAGGGUUGUAAAGCUCUUUCACCGGAGAAGAUAAUGACGGUAUCCGGAGAAGAAGCCCCGGCUAACUUCGUGCCAGCCGCCGCGGUAAUACA
rnacentral:rRNA from 1 species